rnacentral:rRNA from 1 species
GACGUAGGGCGCGAGCGUUGUCCGGAUUUAUUGGGCGUAAAGAGCUCGUAGGCGGUUUGUCGCGUCUGCUGUGAAAACCCGAGGCUCAACCUCGGGCCUGCAGUGGUGGCGAGACUAGAGUGCGGUAGGGGAGAUUGGAAUUCCUGGUGUAGCGGUGGAAUGCGCAGAUAUCAGGAGGAACACCAAUGGCGAAGGCAGAUCUCUGGGCCGUAACUGACGCUGAGGAGCGAAAGCAUGGGGAGCGAACAGG